rnacentral:rRNA from 1 species
GACGAACGCUGGCGGCGUGCUUAACACAUGCAAGUCGAGCGGAAAGGCCCUUCGGGGUACUCGAGCGGCGAACGGGUGAGUAACACGUGAGGAACCUGCCCCAGACUUUGGGAUAACCUUCGGAAACGGAGGCUAAUACCGGAUAUGACAUUCCAUCGCAUGGUGGUUUGUGGAAAGUUUUUCGGUUUGGGAUGUCUCGCGGCCUAUCAGCUUGUUGGUGGGGUAAUGGCCUACCAAGGCGACGACGGGAGCCGGCCUGAGAGGGCGACCGGCCACACUGGGACUGAGACACGGCCCA